GCUCCCCCUCUCCUGCCAGGACCCCGCUCUGGGUACUCAGCCCUCCGGCCCCGGCCGCACCGGCCCUGCACCAGAUCCAGCUACCUUCUGCCUUCUCACCUUUCCCAAAGCUGUGAUGGGGCAGCAAAUUCCCCAGCAGUUGCGUUAUGCCCAACAGCCCAACCCUGUGCUCAGACACGUGAAAACCGUCAGUGUGGACCCCAGGGGCUCCGGAGCAUCCACACCCUGGAGCGCAGACCCCCAGGAGCACCGGAUUCCAGAGCCCCCUGAGCACUAAGUAGAGGGCACCAGGUUGUGUGACCAGCUCAGGCAGAGAUUCCUUCACUCCUGUCUCGUUCCAGGGCAGUCACUUCCUUUGAGCAAACCCACCAUCACUAAGCACUGACCCACUUUCUCAGCUACUGGAGUCCUGACUGUGGUACCUCCUCCACCUCUUCCCCAGCACCCCUCAUUGCUGCCUGCAGCCCCCUUCUCCAGCAUCACCUCAGGGCACUCCUCCUCCUUUUUCCUCCACACCUUUUCCCUCUCCCUGGCUUUCCUCCCUUCACAUUGCAAGUAUGAUCUGUGCUCCCUCUAGGGAGAAAAAAAAAAAGAUGCCUGACUCCCCCUUAAACUAUUUUUACCUUACCGAAAGCCUUGUCUGCUAAGCCAGCCCAGGUCUUCUGCUUCUCUAGACCUCUCCAGGGAACACCUUAACAUCAAGCACCUCCCUUUCCCCCUCUUUAUACAGGAGCCUUUGACUCCACCGCCUUGACUCUUCCAAACUCCCAUCACCUUCUCGGACUAUGCAUUCUCUUUGAGCCGUGAUCCUUUCUCCACAGCAGACCUCAUCCUACUUCUCCAGUUUUCUGGAUGCACCCAGGCCUUGGACACAGCUAAAUCCCACCUACAGCUCUUCCCCUUCCUACUGCACAGCCAGUGCCUGGGCCAAGCCCCUUCCUUCUCCCUUCUCCCUUCUCCCUUCUCUCCUAAGGCCACUGGUCCCACCAUGCACCUCCCCUCCCAUCCCUGUCAGUACCACAGACCCCAUCACAGCACGCAGGAGCAGAGGUCCCACCCAGAGCCUGUCCUGGGGCUUCACGUCCUGCUCUUCCCUCGGGUGUUCACACCUGUCAGCAGCAGCUCUAUGGCAGCAGUUCCCUCCCCGGUACCCGCUGCAGCUCAGAGCCGCCACUCCCCGCCGUGGCCGUGGCCAUGUCCUGUGGGCACACACUGGACACAUCCCACUCCUCUGCCUCCCAAGACAACGGGCACCUGUGCCCGGGACCGAGCAGAAGGCGCCUGCCACGCCGCGGGAGCUGCAGCUCUGCCAUCUGUGCCAAGGUCACAGGAACACACCAAGUGCCAGACUGGCUCUGACCCGCAUGCACAGCAUCUGCCAUCUCGUCUCCCGAGCAGCCGCACUGCAGCGAGGAGGAGGAAUUCUGCAGGAAGCAAUUACAAGGGAAUGUCUUCCGAAGUACUGAGCACCAGACAGGGCUGGCUGUGAGGACCAGGCUGCCAGAGCUGACCUGUCAGGGGUACCUCAGGCACAGGUACCUGGCUCUGGGCAGGAAACCAGGUUCUGGUUGUGAGGUGUCGCUGAAUCACAGACUGUCUGCUGGAGAGAUGAUGCACCUUGUGCUGCCCACAGAGGCAGGGCUGGACAUACUGGAUCCCCCUGGUGUGUCUGACCCAUCCCUACAACCUCCCCAAGACCCCUCCAGCCUGUGACCUCCUUCCUGCUGAACUCUUCCUCCUCCUGUGACUCCAUCCAAAUUCUGAUUAAACCCACUGAAAAACA